GUUACUUUUCCACAGGAUGAGUGAGUCAUAAGGGACUUUUGGCAGGAAACAAAAGCUUUGCAGCUGAGUCUUCUUCACUUCCUUUGGACGGAUGCUGUAUGUUUGCUUCAUCCUUGAGGGUGAGAGAACCACCCUCCUAGGUGGCGCUAACGCGUAGAACACAUUGCCAAGAACGUUUAAGAGACGGUAGAGGAACACGGGGCAAAACCGAGGGAAACCACAAAGUACGGCCGACAGCGCUCAUUGCGCAGUUGGACAAAGAAGGUGAGAGGUGAGCAAACAGACACCACGUGACCUGUUGUGUUAAAAAAAAUGACCAUAAUCCUGCGAUUGCAAGGCCUGGAUGUGAAGGCAGGUACUGAAGAUAUCCGGACAUUCUUUGAAGGAUUUCACAUACCUGAUGGUGGAGUGUACAUAGUGGGAGGACGUCUCAGAGAGGCUUUUAUUGCAUUCACCACUGAGAGAGAUGCCCAGCUUGCCAUGCGGUACACUGAGAACUUCCUCAAAGGGGUCUAGGUGAUUCUACAGAUAAGCAGCAUGGCAGAGCUGGAGCAAAAACUAAAGUCCUCAUUAAAGAGGAAGAAAGCGUCCUCCAUGCAGCCUACUGUGAAGAAACCUCAGUCGACUACAGAUGUGAAUGUGCUACCUUUGAAUGCACAUCCUCUUAAUCCAAAUGCUGCGAAUCUGCCGCCACCUCUUAAUCCUGAAAUUGCGAAUCCACACUCUUAAAUGCACACUCACUUGAUUCCAAUGCUGCCUUCCUUCUUGGGAUUUGUACUGCCCUUCAAGGUCUCCAUUCAUCUAUUCAAAGUGAAAACAGUGUGGCAGUGCCAAGAGUUGAUUUCCCCAAGGCCGCCGACGGCACAGAUGUGUGUAAUGAAAUGAGGACACAAAAGCAAACUCUGGACUCGAGGCCAGGCUACGUCAGACUCUUUGGUUUGCCAGCCUCCACGACAAAAGAGGACAUCUGCCAUUUUUUUCAAAAGGGCUGACGGUACAGGAAGCCAUAGUGAAUGUUGAGUUGGGACGUAGCCACGCCUGCCUUGUGAAGUUUGCAAACCUGCAGGACGCAUGUGAUGCUCUUCUCUUCAACCAACAGUCACUAGGCCCCAUCUGUGUGGAGGUACGUGGAGCUACCGAGAAGAUGUGGACAGCUUUUGAAGUUGGGGAGUGUGUGACACCCAAGAAAAGCCCUCUUGAGGGAACUGUAAACCUCACAGAAAAAAAACACUACUGCACUGCAGCGCAAGAGAGCAUUCAACCAGUUGCCAUCAGAAUCACCAAAAGAGCAAAGAUGUCCUCCAACUAGAGAGUUCAUUGUCAUGGUCACUAAUAUUCCCAAAAGUAUGACCAAGACUGAAAUAAAAGAAUUGUUUGGAUGUCCAAACAUUGCACACUACAAUGUACAACAUCUGCUUGACAAGGAAGGCAUCAGAACAGCCACCGCUUUUCUUAUUUUUAACUGCACUGAGGAUUAUGAGUAUGCAAUGAAUCUCACUGGCUGCCAUGUGGGCUCUGAUGCCAUUGCGGUCUCAUCAAUCACCAAACAACUAUGUGGGACAUGAUGGCCAAAACGCAUCACAAAGUCUUGAGCAAUGGCCGAGACCGGCACAAAGGACAAACCAAAUCGAAAAGAAUAAAUCAAAUCCAUUAGAGACACCAGAAGAAACGGCAAUCGUAAACCCGGACCCAGCAGAUAAGACAUGUCUGUUUGUCAGAAACAUGCCUGCCGAUGUACAGAAACACCAUAUUCAAAGACUUUUUAGUAAAUACAAAGUAAGGGAGGAUGAUAUCAUCUCACUGCACGACGGUGAAGGCACGGUAUUGGUGAGGCUGUGGUUCAGUUUGAAUCUGAAAAACUCGCUGCACUGGCUCAUAAGAGGACACGGUCAAAACUUCCUGGGGACAAAAGUGCUUCUUCACACUCAUAAAAUGUGACCUCAGAUGGAGGACAUCUUGGCAAGAAAUGUUUCAGGAAAUUGAACAUUAUCGCUCAAAUGCAAACACUGGCCAAAGAUUGAUUAGGGUUACUUGCCUACAAACUGUAAUUCUGCUUCGUAGCAUCAACCGUCUGAGUCUUCACAAUCUGUCUGAAAAUGUCCAUGCAUUAAAUAAAUUUUAUGGUACAUUUAA